UACAGGGGGUGCAAACGUUGCUCGGAAUUAUUGGGCGUAAGGCGCGCGUAGGCGGCCACUUAAGUCGGAUGUGAAAGCCCCUGGCUCAACUGGGGAAGUGCACCCGAAACUGAAUGGCUUGAAUGCAAAAGAGGGUCGCGGAAUUCCCGGUGUAGAGGUGAAAUUCGUAGAUAUCGGGAGGAACACCGGUGGCGAAGGCGGCGACCUGGGUUGACAUUGACGCUGAGGCGCGAAAGCGUGGGGAGCAAACAGG
rnacentral:rRNA from 1 species